UCUGCCCCUUGUUCUGGGGUCUAGGUUGUUGUGCUCCUAUUUACCUGGAAGGUAUCAGUAAAAGUGAACUGUUUCAGCAGGCAGAAUUACUGUGGCGUGUGUGCACAGCCUCUACAAAGAUAUUGUUCAUGUCUGUUAUCCACUGUGGAUAUAAUUUGUGAAGAAUUUUCCAAGCACCACCUUUGGCAUUUUUUUUCUCUUGUUCUGGGCACAUUUGAUUAGAAUCCAUGAGAGUAACACAGUCUCUUUGCCCUCACCACACACACACAUAUGGCCAAAUCCCCUUGUUUUUAAUUUUUUGAGCCAGACUCUUUAUUUAAAGAGAGAGUGAACAAGUCAGUUCUAAGGAUUACAAGUCACCAGGAUUGCAUCCUAGUCAACUAAAGUUAAGUACAUGUCACUAAGGCUUGAACAUUCCCCCAGAACAUAGCCCAGAUGGCUCUUCAUGGAAGCCCAGAUGUGCCCCACCUGUCUUAACAUAUCUUGAGGGUGAGGUGGAACUAAAGUAAUCAAAACAGCUUCCUGGAGAGAUGCCUUAAGACAAAUGCAUGCAUACCUGGAGGUAUAAGGAAAGAUGCCACCAUCACAGAAUUAUUGUAUGUGGAAGGCAGUUAAUACUACACUAAAAUUACCCGAAGAUCAGUAUUACUCAUCACCACACCAUGAUAGUGGUGGCAUAAUGUUGCAGAUUCCAGUUCCUUCCAACAAAGCAGCACUCAGAGAGGCCCCAGGGAUGCAAAAAUGAGCAAAGAGUGGAUGGACGGUAUAAUGAGGAAAAGGAGCAUUAGAUGGAGACAGAAAUGCUCCAGUGCAGAGGAGGCUGCGGGAAUCCGGAGGAGGGGUGGAGCACGGGGGGAGCUGAGGAAGACUUCACAGAGGAGACUGGUACUUCAGAGAGCCUGGGGCUGGGCAGAGAGAGAGCCCGAGGGUGAGAGUUAAGCAGAUCCACAGUCUCCUGGGGUCUGUCACCCAAAGGCAGGCCAGGGGACCAAAGGUAAGCUGGUCACUAGGAUACACAAAGAGCCCAGAAAACGUCAAUUGUGUGUGUUUGGGUGGGAGAAGAGGACGUUUGUAGAAAGGGAAAGGAUUUGCUAAAAAAUCAUAGCCUAGAGGGGAAAAAAACAAGUUCUAAGAAAAUAAUCACAGAGGAGCCUACCAAGUCUGCCAAAUGCUAUCAUUUUCAUCUAAAUUCAUGUUUUAAUCAGUUGUCAUGUGCAUCUAAAAGGCACUGUUUCAUACUUGAAUAUUUGAUGAAAAUUGAGACUUUUCCAAGGAGAGAAAAACUAACAGAACUGUAGAGAAGCACAUAAAAGAACACCUGGGUCUCUCUGUGCACCGGGGGGUCAGCUUCGCCCUGAAGCUCCAAGGUGCUUGUCAGUUUAGCUCCAUAGAUGCCCACAGAUGAUCAGAGGAGCCAGUGGUCUCAUACUGAACAUUUUAAGAGGCUUAGUUGAUAGGAGAAGUAAAAUACAUUUGGAACAAUAAUCCCCUUUCUAGAAAAAGUAAAAACCCAGGGUUUAAAAGAUGGAAACACCCCAAAUGUCCAACUGUUAAAUGGUAUAACCUGUGCCAUGGAAUAUUAUUCAGCCACAAAAAGUCAUGAAGUACUGAAAUAUCCUACAUCACAGAUGAACCUUGAAAACAUGCUAAGCAAAAGAAACCAAUCACAAAAGACUGCAUAUUAUGUUAUUUAAUUUAUGUGAAACAUCCAAUAUAGGCAAAUCCUAGAGAUAGAAAUUAGCGUUUUAGGGCUGGGAGAAGGCACAGAUGACAAAUGGGGCUUGUUAACCAAAGGUACAGGGUUUCCCUUUUUGGUGAUGAAAUGUUCUAAAAUUGACUGUGGUGAUGGUUGCACAUAUCUGUGAAUAUACUAAAAACCGUUGAAUUGUAUGCUUUGAAUAGGUGGAUUACAUGGAAUGUGAAUUAUACCUCAGUAAAGUUCUUAGUAUAAAAAAAUAAUAAUAGAGCUUUGUUUCAACAAUAAUGUUAGUUAGGAUGCUGCUUUAAAUUUUGUAAUAGAAACUCAUAAACACAAUGGCUUAAAGCAGAUCGAAGCAGUCCAAAGUAGAUAUGUGCCUUGAUAGUGUUGGGCCCCCAGGCCCUUCUACCUUGUUGCUCUCCUGUCCUCAGCGUGGCUUCCGUCUUGAAAUCCCAGAUGGUCACUCCGGCUCCUACCAUCUUGUCCUUGCUUAGCUAACAGGAAGGAGAAACCCAAGAAUGGCACAGAUACCACUUUUAAUGACAUCCCAUUAGUCAGAACUCAAUCACGGUACUCCCAAAUGCAAGGGAACCUGGGAAAUGUAGUCUUUAGCUGGGUGCCCACAUGCCCCGCCAAAAAUCUAGAGUUCUGUUACUGAAGACAAAAGGAAUAUCUGAUUAUUGGGGAAAACAAGUAUUAUUUGCUACCACAGUCUUUCCCCUAAAUUUUGUCCUUACUGAAGCUAUCGAAUCUGUUCUGAUAACCUGAUUUGCAUCAGAAAAGGCUCUAGGAACUUGCAAGUUGUAGUGACUCAGUAUUAUUGAAAGACAAGUCAGAUUUUCUUCCCUGAGCUUAUUUAUUUAUCCCUACUUGGAUGGAAGGAAAACCAACUGGAAAGCUUUCUCUCACUACAGUAAGCUCUGAUUUGUAGAUCCGUUUGUUGUGUGUAGCUCAUCCCUAAAUCCUUGGCCGUCCUCAGUCACAUCUUCUGAACUGCCAUCCAUUUUGUCC